CAGAAGGCCACAUUCAGGGACAGAAAGCUUACUCUGGGCCUUUCCUGGGAGCUGACUUGGCCUGGCCUCGGCCCCUUCUCUCCAUUCUGUGCCCUCUGCUCCAAGAGCAGUAACUACCUGUCUGGCUCAGAUGAACCUGUGUCUCCAGGAGGUCCUCGUACUCAGCCCAGUGAAGGAGCCCUGGGCCUCACCCUUUAGACCACUGAUCAGGACAGAAACCCAGAAGAAGGGAGUUAGUCCCCAUGUGAGCCUCAAGUAGUGCUAUCCUAUUGGUGUUUCCCUGUAUGAAUCUCCAGGGCCUCCCUGAGGCUGGAGUGGGUAUUAUAGGAUGCUCUGCACCACACUGGGCUCACACCUCAUGGCUCACAGCAUGUCUGUCUCCUCGGUGGAGAUGUCUGCCUCUGGCUAUGUGAAGUCAUUUCCAGUCUGCACAAGAAGUGAAAUGCCUCUGCUCCUCUCUCUCUCUCACUCUCUCACUCUCUCGCUCUUUCCUCUCCCCUGCUCCCCUGCUCUCCCCUUUGUCCCUUCUCUCCCCAUCCCCCACUUCCCUCCACUCUCAUGGUUGGCCUCCUUUACUUCUCCCCUCUUCUACUCUUCUCUUAUUAAACCUUUCCACUUGGAAGAAAAAAGAGAAAAAAAAAGUGAAAUGCUAUCCACCA
rnacentral:lncRNA from 1 species